rnacentral:rRNA from 1 species
UGCAAUCAUGGCAGGUGCUUUCUACGAGUCGAGUUGCUUGGGAUUGCAGCUCAAAGUGGGAUGUAAAUUCAUUCUAAAUCUAAAUAUUGGUGGGAGACCGAUAGCGUACAAGUACCGUGAGGGAAAGAUGCAAAGAACUUUGAAAAGAGAGUUAAAGAGUACCUGAAAUUGCUGAAAGGGAAGCGAAGGAAACCAGUGCUUUUGCCUGCUAUUUUUCUCAUGCUGCUUGCAGUAUGGGCGCUGUGGUAGGUUGGAGGUCAGCAUGGAUUUGAGCUUGGAUAAAUUGCCGUUCAGGAGGUAGGUCCNUUAGGACUGAUACUGUUUGGUGUUAUCUUGGUUUGGAUUGAGGCUAGUCACUUGUGCUCGUGAUGCUGACAAAAUGGUUUUCUUUACCCCGUCUUGAAACACGGACCAAGGAGUCUAACAUAUGUGCGAGUAUAGGAGUGGCAAACUCCCAUGCGCAAUGAAAGUAACAGUGGUAGGACCUUAUGGGCACUAUCUGCCGGCCACAAUCCUUCGGGAGAAAGGUCUGAGUGUGAGCAUACAUGUUGGGACCCGAAAGAUGGUGAACUAUGCCUGAAUAGGGUGAAGCCAGGGAA